rnacentral:lncRNA from 1 species
UCCAGAAUGUUUUUUCCUCGUAUACGCAAUACAGAUCCUUCUUUCUCAUUAUCUACGGUCUAUGCACACAUUAACGAUGAGAACAUAUAGAAUGCAAAAUUCCUAGCAGCAGGGUACAACAUAUUAAUCAGUAUAAUGCAAGCUAUCAUUUUCUAGGCCAAAGGCGCCGAGAAAAGAAGGAAAUUCAGGGGGAGAAAUUAAUAUUUUAGCUGGAUCAACAGUUCUUCAACUAAGAAAAAGGUGCAUCUAUUAUUGAAAAUCACUUACAGAAUUUUGUACCAAAUUAGGCACGAGGAUAUAUAAAGUAAAGAGAUAUGACAGGCAACACAGAAUUUCGAAAGGAAGUCAGGAUCCAGGAUGAGUAGAGUUCUAUACUUCUAUAGAGAAACAUUAUUUCUAUGGAUUUAUCACUCCAACAACAAUAGCAAUAACUAUGGCCCUCAUUUGUGUACCAGACAAUGGCAUCUGCAAGAAUAUAAUCAAGACGACUUGAUA